AUGCUCACUUCCGCAGCACAUAUACUAAAAUUGGAACGAUACAGAGAUUAGUAGGACCCCAGGGAUGACACAAAUUCAUGAAGCCUUCCAUAUUUUU
rnacentral:snRNA from 1 species